rnacentral:rRNA from 1 species
GACGAACGCUGGCGGCGUGCCUAAUACAUGCAAGUCGAACGCAGUGGGGACGGGUGAGUAACACGUGGGUAACCUCCCAUCAGAGGGGAUAACACUUGGAAACAGGUGCUAAACCGAUACUGAUGGAUGGACCCGCGGUGCAUUAGCUAGUUGGUGAGGUAACGGCUCACCAAGGCCCCGAUGCAUAGCCGACCUGAGAGGGGUAGAGGCCACACUUGGUCUGAGAGACGGCCCAUACUCCUACGGGAGGAAGCAGGAGGGAAUCUUCGGCAAUGGGAGAAAGUCUGACCGAGCAACGCCGCGGGAGUGAAGAAGGUUUUCGGAUCGUAAAGAUCGGUUGUAAAGGAAGCGGUAUCUUACCAGAAAGGGACGGCUAACUACGUGCCAGCAGCCGCGGUAAUAC